AACGAACGUUAGCGGCGCGCCUAACACAUGCAAGUCGCACGAGAAAGGGCUUCGGCCCCGGUACAGUGGCGCACGGGUGAGUAACACGUGGGUAAUCUGCCUUCGAGCGGGGGAUAACAUUUCGAAAGGAGUGCUAAUACCGCAUAAGACCACGGCUUCGAAAGAAGCAGCGGUCAAAGCUGGCCUCUAUACAUGAGCUAGCACUCGAGGAUGAGCCCGCGGCGCAUCAGCUAGUUGGUGAGGUAAUGGCUCACCAAGGCGAAGACGCGUAGCUGGUCUGAGAGGAUGAUCAGCCACACUGGAACUGAGACACGGUCCAGACUCCUACGGGAGGCAGCAGCGGGGAAUCUUGCGCAAUGGGCGAAAGCCUGACGCAGCGACGCCGCGUGAGUGAUGAAGGCCUUCGGGUUGUAAAGCUCUGUGGGGAGAGACGAAUAAGUGCAGGCUAAUACCCUGCAUGAUGACGGUAUCUCCUUAGCAAGCACCGGCUAACUCUGUGCCAGCAGCCGCAGUAAAAC
rnacentral:rRNA from 1 species